GCAACCUACCUUAAUCAGGGGGAUAGCCCGAAGAAAUUCGGAUUAACACCGCAUAAAAUCACAGCACAGCAUUGUGUAAUGAUCAAAUAUUUAUAGGAUAGAGAUGGGCAUGCGUGUCAUUAGCUAGUUGGCGGGGUAACGGCCCACCAAGGCGACGAUGACUAGGGGAUCUGAGAGGAUGGCCC
rnacentral:rRNA from 1 species